AAAGAAUUAGUUAAAUAAUAACAUUAGUAUGUCAAACUUAAAUUAUUACAUAAAAGUAAUAUUCUUUU
rnacentral:tRNA from 1 species